GCACAAGCAGUGGAGUAUGUGGUUUAAUUCGACGCAACGCGAAGAACCUUACCAAGUCUUGACAUCCCGUGACAGACAUAGAAAUAUGUGAUCUCUUCGGAACACGGAGACAGGUGGUGCAUGGUUGUCGUCAGCUCGUGUCGUGAGAUGUUGGGUUAAGUCCCGCAACGAGCGCAACCCUUAUGGUCAGUUACUACGCAAGAGGACUCUGGCCAGACUGCCGUUGACAAAA
rnacentral:rRNA from 1 species